AGUGAACGCUGGCGGUAGCCUUAACACAUGCAAGUCGAACGGCAGCACAGUAAGAGCUUGCUCUUACGGGUGGCGCGUGGUGGACGGGUGAGGAAUAUAUCGGACUCUACUUUUUCGUGGGGGAUAACGUCGGGAAACUUACGCUAAUACCGCAUACGACCUACGGGUGACAGCAGGGGAUCUUCGGACCUUUCGCGAUUGAAUGAGCCGAUGCCGGAUUAGCUAGCUGGCGGGGUAAAGGCCCACCGAGGCGACGAUCCGUAGCUGAUCUGCGAAGAUGAUCAGCCACACGGAGACUGAGACGCGGUCCAGACACCUACGGGAGGCAGCAGUGGGGAAUAUUGGACAAUGGACGCGAGCCUGAUCCAGCCAUACCGCGAUGGUGAAGAAAGCCUUCGGGUUGUAAAGCCCUUUUGUUGGGAAAGAAAAACAGCAGGUUAAGACCCCGCUAUACUGACGGUACCCAAAGAAUAAGCACCGGCUAACUUCGUG
rnacentral:rRNA from 1 species